rnacentral:lncRNA from 1 species
GGAAUUAGAGAAACAUGGUUAAAUGCUACAAAUUUCCAGUUAUAAGAUAAUUGCUCUGAGGGUAGUGUACAAUGUACUGACUAUGCUUAACAUUAUUGAAUGGUAAUGUUUGACAGUUGUUAAGGGAGUAAAACCUAAGCGUUCUCAUCAGAGUUUUUUGGUUUGGGUUUUUUUCUGUACCUAUAUGAGAUGAUGGAUGUUCACACACUUAUUGUGGUGAUCAUUUCACAAUACACGUUAAUCAAAUCAUUAUGCUGUACAUCCUAAGUUUAUACAGUGCUGUAUGUCAAUUGUAUCUCAAUAAAAAUGGGAAAAAAAUCAAUUGAGAAAAAUGAAAUAGAUAUUUUGAGCCAAAAUGCAAAGGCAUAAGUGUGUAAAAUUUGAGAACGAUAAGAGCUGUCUCAGCAACUCUAUGUAUGCAAAUACAGAUCCAUCAGGUAAUCAGCCCAAGCUGAGUGGUUAGUAGGUACACAGCCCUAGGCUUGACUCUCAUUCAGCAAGGUCUCUAUAAUAAACAGAGAAGCCAGCGACUCGCCAUGAAAUCUCCACUUCAGCCCUGCGUACAUCUGUUGAGUGUCUCCUCUGCUCAAGUGCAGAAGCACACCUUUCCACCCAACCAUUUUAAUAACAAAAUACAUUCUGGGAUUGACUAAAAGUUCUAGUCACUCUCUUGAAGAAAAUUACCAUGGCUCAACAUUAUUCCAAACAUUUAUCUAAUUAAAAUUUUGAUGGCCAAAAAGCACAUGAAAAGAUGCUCAACAUCACCAUUAGUAGAGGAACAUAAAUCAAAACUGCAGUGAGGUAUCAUCUCAUACCAGUCAGUAUGUCCAUCAUCAAAAAGUCUACAAUAAUUUCUAGGGAGGGUAUGGAGAAAAGAGAACCAUUCUACACUGUUGGUGGAAAUGUAAACUGCUACGGCCACUAGAAAAGAGUAUGGAAGGUCCUUACAAAACUAAACAUAAAACCACCAUAUGAUCCAGCAAUCAUAAGGUAUUUUAAACUUAAAACUACUGUAUGAUCUUGGCAUAUAUCUGGAAAAACCAUGAUUCAAAAAGACACAUGCACCCCAAUGUUCAUUGCCACACCAGUAGUUAAGACAUGGAAGGAACCUAAGUGUCCAUCACAGGGAAAUGGGUAAAGAAGAUGUGAUAUAUCUACAAUGGAAUAUUACUUAUCCAUAAAAAAGAAUGAAAUAAAGCCAUUUGCAGCAACAUGACCUAGAGAUUAUCAUACGAAGUACAAUGUCAGACAAGAAAAACAAAUGUCAAUGAUAUCACUUAUAUGUGGAAUCUAAAAAAAUGAUAUAAAUGAACUUAUUUACAAAGCAAAAAGAGAUUCACAGACUUUGAAAACAAACUUAUGGUUACCAAAGGGGAAAGUUGGGGAGGAGGAAAAAAAUAGGAGUUAGUAUUUAACAUGUGCUACACUACUAUAUAUAAAACAUGUAAUAAACAAGGACCUACUGUAUAAUACUGGAAACUAUUCAAUAUUUUUAAUAACCUAUAAUGGAAAAGAAUCUGAAAAAGAAUAGAUAUAUGUGUUUGUAUAACAGAAUCACUUUAAUGUACACCUGAUGCUAAGGCAAGAUUGUGAAUCAACUGUACUCCAACAUAAAAUAAUUUUUUUGUUGUUGUUGUUUUGGGCCACACACAGCAUAUGGAAGUUCCCAAGCUAGGGGUCAAAUCAGAGCUGCAGCUGCCAGCCUAUGCCACAGCCAUAGCCAUGCCAGAUCUUUAACCCACUGAGCGAGGCCAGGGACCAAACCUGGGUCCUCAUGGAUGUUAGUCAGAUUUGUUUCCAUGGAGCCACGUUGGGAACUCCCUAAAAUAAAUUUUUUUAAAGAAAUUUAAAAUAAAAUGUACAUGGGGGGACAAGAAUAAGGGCAUAUUUGUUUGAACAUAGCAUUAUCCAACAUUUUCUAACCACUAUUUGCAAAGCACUAUAACUUAAUAAGAUGGUCUUACAACACAAAUUUCCUAAUAGUCUCAGAAAAGUGUGAGCAAAUCCCAGAGAACCAUCAGGAUUUCUCAAAUAGACAGGGCCAUUUUAAACUGAAUGAACAUCUAAUGUAGAUACUAUUUUUAUCCCCAGGUUAUUGAUGAGAAAACAGGUGCAAGGAGGGGUAAUUAUCUUUCCCAAGGUCAUAACUUGCUUACUUUACAUAAGAUGUGACAGCUUGAACAAGUCCUGUAGCCCUCCUCAUCUUUAGGAAUAUUUUUUAUUUAAAAAAUGUGAUAGAUUUAACUGAAUAAAGGACCAAGAAUGUAAAAGCCUUCGAUGGAAGCAGACAGUCCCCCUCCCUCUCAUUCAAAGACCCAUGGGAGAAAAGAGCGCAACCUGGAAAACACAUUCAACUAAUCUUUCAAUAGCUUUUGCAAAACAUCAGCAGCCCUUCCUCCCUAUCACUGAACAACUGGCUGAGACUGACUCAGAGUUCUUGGCUGUCUCUGUUGUGGGAUGGAAUCAUAUUUCUUUAAAACAGAAAUUUGAGUGAGUGAAGGAGAGAUGCACUCUAACCUCUAACUAAGAAAGAAAGGCUUGCCUGUAAUGCCAGGAAUCUGAAAAACAAACAGGAUGAGUUUGCGUAUUGAUUGGAUGAGCACAAUUCUAGCAAAUAGGAGGGAAAAUUCCCCAAAAGAGGGCAAAAAUCAGUUUUUUAAUCAUCCAAGCUCAGUGCACAGCUUUGGCAGGCUCUAACAAGUUCAUGAGACAUGGGAAUCACAGAUAGCGUACUUGAAGGUGCAAGCAGUGAGGAUGGUCAAACAACCAGACUAAAAACACCACAAUAUUAGAAGAGACAGAGCCUAAGACAAUGAGAAAAGAGAUGAAGAAGAGGAUGGCAGAAAUUCCCUGGUGGCCUAGCAGUUAAAGAUUCAGCAUUGUCACUGCUGUGGCUCGGGUUCCAUCCCUGGCCUGGGAAUUUGAUGUCAGUCAAAUGUAAAAUACCCACUUAUAAGACCAUCUUAUUAAGUGAUAGUGCUUUGCAAAUAGUUGUUAUAAAAUGUUAGAUAAUCCUAUGUUCCUUUUCUUUUCCAAUAAACAGAAGACAUCAGGAGUCAUUUUAUAUGCAAAGGGUCACAC